UACGUAGGGAGCGAGCGUUGUCCGGAAUUACUGGGCGUAAAGAGCUCGUAGGUGGUUUGUCGCGUCGUCUGUGAAAUUCCGGGGCUUAACUCCGGGCGUGCAGGCGAUACGGGCAUAACUUGAGUACUGUAGGGGAGACUGGAAUUCCUGGUGUAGCGGUGAAAUGCGCAGAUAUCAGGAGGAACACCGGUGGAGAAGGCGGGUUUCUGGGCAGUAAUUGACGCUGUGGAGCGAAAGCGUGGGUAGCGAACAGGAUGAGAUAACCGGGUUGUCCAUGCCGUAAACGGUGGGCGCUAGGUGUAGGGGUCUGCCACGCCUUCUGUCCCGUGGCUACCGCAUCAAGCGCCCCGCCUGGGGAGUACGGCCGCAAGGCUAAAACUCAAAUGAAUUGACGGGG
rnacentral:rRNA from 1 species